rnacentral:rRNA from 1 species
GAUGAACGCUGGCGGCGUGCCUAAUACAUGCAAGUCGAGCGAACAGACGAGGAGCUUGCUCCUCUGACGUUAGCGGCGGACGGGUGAGUAACACGUGGAUAACCUACCUAUAAGACUGGGAUAACUUCGGGACACCGGAGCUAAUCCCGGAUAAUAUAUUGAACCGCAUGGUUCAAUAGUGAAAGACGGUUUUGCUGUCACUUAUAGCUGGAUCCGCGCUGCAUUAGCUAGUUGUUAAGGUAACGGCUUACCAAGGCAACGAUGCGUAGCCGACGGGAGAGGGUGAUCGGCCACACUGGAGCUGAGACACGGUCCAGACGCCUACGGGAGGCAGCAGUAGGGAAUCUUACGCAAUGGGCGAAAGCCUGACGGAGCAACGCCGCGUGAGUGAUGAAGGUCUUCGGAGCGUAAAACUCUGUUAUUAGGGAAGAACAAAUGUGUAAGUAACUAUGCACGUCUUGACGGUACCUAAUCAGAAAGCCACGGCUAACUACGUG